UUGAUACAGCUCCACAUAUACCAACAGCAUUACAUACUACACGGGAUAACAAAGUUAUUAUAAGUACAGUUGAAGCGGGAAGAGACUGGCUUCCAAUUGACGAACUGUGUAAGGUUGAAAUUUUAGUUAUCACAGCAAAAUGUGAAGUUAUUUUUCGUUUUCUGUUCAAUAAAGAUUUGUUCUAUUUUCCUAAUAAAAUAACGUCGAUCGGUACAGACAUAUGUAUUGUAGAUUCCAUUUCUGAUUAUUCUGGAAGAUUAGUUACGCUGAACAAUAAAGGAAAGGUGAAAUGGACUUAUGGAUAUAAUGAGACAAAUUCUGGUAUUAUAGCAGAUGUGGUAGCCACGCCUUUAAACAAUAUCGUAUUAUUGGACCCAUUCCAUGGUGUGCUUCGGGUUCUUGAUUCCAAGGGGACUUGUAUUAAAACAUUGGGAUUGCGAGGCUUUAAAAUAACUGAUGCGUGUGCUAUGACUAUAUCGAAUGAUGAAAAAAUAUUUAUAGGAUGCGGACA
rnacentral:lncRNA from 1 species